rnacentral:rRNA from 1 species
AUAACGGUCCUAAGGUAGCGAAAUUCCUUGUCGGGUAAGUUCCGACCCGCACGAAAGGCGUAAUGAUUUGAGCACUGUCUCGACAAUGCAUCCGGUGAAAUUGAAGUACCAGUGAAGAUGCUGGUUACCCGCGCCAGGACGGAAAGACCCCAUGGAGCUUUACUCCAGUUUGGUACUGGGAUUCGGUACUGCACGUACAGGAUAGGUGGGAGACUUUGAAACUUGAACGCCAGUUUGAGUGGAGUCGCUGUUGGGAUACCACCCCUGCAGUAUUGGAUUUCUAACCAGUCACCGUGAUCCGGUGAUGGGACAAUGCCAGGCGGGGAGUUUGACUGGGGCGGUCGCCUCCGAAAGGGUAUCGGAGGCGCUCAAAGGUUCCCUCAGAAUGGUUGGAAACCAUUCGAAGAGUGCAAAGGCAGAAGGGAGCUUGACUGCGACACCGACGGGUGGAGCAGGUACGAAAGUAGGACUUAGUGAUCCGGUGGUAUAAAGUGGGAUUGCCAUCGCUCAACGGAUAAAAGCUACCCUGGGGAUAACAGGCUUAUCACUCCCAAGAGUUCACAUCGACGGAGUGGUUUGGCACCUCGAUGUCGGCUCAUCGCAUCCUGGGGCUGUAGCAGGUCCCAAGGGUUGGGCUGUUCGCCCAUUAAAGCGGUACGCGAGCUGGGUUCAGAACGUCGUGAGACAGUUCGGUCCCUAUCCGGCGUGGGCGUAGGAUAUCUGAGAGGAGCUGUCCUUAGUACGAGAGGACCGGGAUGGACGGACCGCUGGUGGACCGGUUAGCUUGCCAAAGCCAUGGCCGGGUAGCCAAGUCCGGAAGGGAUAAACGCUGAAGGCAUCUAAGCGUGAAGCCCCCCUCAAGAUGAGAUAUCCCUCACAAAAGUGGGUAAGAUCCCUUGAAGACUACAAGGUAGAUAGGGCAGAGGUGGAAGUGUGGCAACACAUGGAGCUGACUGUUACUAAUCGAUCGAGGGCUUGACCAA